rnacentral:rRNA from 1 species
GACGAACGCUGGCGGCGUGCUUAACACAUGCAAGUCGAACGGAAAGGCCCUGCUUUUGUGGGGUGCUCGAGUGGCGAACGGGUGAGUAACACGUGAGUAACCUGCCCUUGACUUUGGGAUAACUUCAGGAAACUGGGGCUAAUACCGGAUAGGAGCUCCUGAUGCAAGGUGGGGGUUGGAAAGAUACUGCGGUUGGGGGUGGACCCGCGGCUUAGCAGCUUGUUGGUGGGGUAGUGGCGUACCAAGGCUUUGACGGGUAGCAGGCCUGGGGGGGUGACCGGCCACCGCGGGACUGUGAUUCGGCCCAGACUCCUGCGGGAGGCAGGAGCGGGGAAUUUUGCACAAUCUGCGCAAGCGUGAGGCAGAAACGCCGCGUUCGGGACGACGGCCUUCGGGUUGUAAACCGCUUUCGCCUGUGACGAAGCGUGAGUGACGGGAAUUGGUAAAGAAGCACCGGCUAUCUACGU